rnacentral:rRNA from 1 species
CUACGGAAGGCGAGAAUUUUUCUCAAUGGGGGAAACCCUGUAGGAGCGACGCCGCGUGGAGGAUGAAGGUCUUCGGGUUGUAAACUCCUGUCAUUUGGGAACAAGGUGCACAUGUUAACUGUAUGUGCAUUGAUAGUACCAGAAGAGGAAGAGACGGCUAACUCUGUGCCAGCAGCCGCGGUAAUACAGAGGCCUCAAGCGUUGUUCGGAUUCAUUGGGCGUAAAGGGUGCGUAGGUGGCGUCGUAAGUCGGGUGUGAAAUUUCGGAGCUUAACUCCGAAACUGCAUUCGAUACUGCGGUGCUUGAGGACUGGAGAGGAGACUGGAAUUUACGGUGUAGCAGUGAAAUGCGUAGAGAUCGUAAGGAAGACCAGUGGCGAAGGCGGGUCUCUGGACAGUUCCUGACACUGGGGCACGAAGGCCAGGGGAGCAAACGGGAUUAGAUACCCUAGUAGUCCG